CCUACGGGAGGCAGCAGUAGGGAAUCUUCCACAAUGGACGAAAGUCUGAUGGAGCAACGCCGCAUGAGGGAAGAAGGGUUUCCGCUCGUUAAGCUCUGUUGGUAGUGAAGAAAGAUAGAGGUAGUAACUGCCCUUUAUUUGACGCUAAUUACUUAGAAAGUCCCGGCUAACUACGUCCCAGCAGCCGCGGUAAUACGGAGGUGGCAAGCGUUGUCCGGUUUUAUUGGGCGUAAAGCGAGUGCAGGCGGUUGAAUAAGUCUGAUGUGAAAGCCUUCGGCUCAACCGGAGAAUUGCAUCAGAAACUGUUGGACUUGAGUGCAGAAGAGGAGAGUGGAACUCCAUGUGUAGCGGUGGAAUGCGUAGAUAUAUGGAAGAACACCAGUGGCGAAGGCGGGUCGCUGGGCUGCAACUGACGCUGAGGCUCGAAAGCAUGGGUAGCGAACAGGAUUAGAUACCCUAGUAGUC
rnacentral:rRNA from 1 species